UCCACAGCUCCCACGGAGCCUCUGACCCGCUGGUAUCAGGUCAGAUGUUUGCUGCAGACGCCGCUGUACGCUAAGUUGGGACAAACUCUGUCUGGGACUGUCCUGCUGGAGGCUAACAGCAGGCAGAGCUAUGACAUCCAGAUCACAGCCACAGUCGACCAAUCAGGCUUCAGAUCUGGAAAUGUGCUGGACCUCAAGAACCCUUUCUUUAGGAUAGGGUCUUGGUAGAGAGCUCCGGACUGUCGAUGAGCAGGAGGUCCAGGAGGUCCAGGAGGUCCAGGGAGGAUGCACCGUGAGGAGAGCACAGGUGAAGCUUUCCCCAAAAAUUCCAAGAAAAUGGAACAUCGGAAGGAAUCGUCGGAUACGGCACUUCCGCACGCUUCGACUUCUCAUAUUUCGUCAGCGACCUUUUAUAUAAUCGUGAUGGUUUUUAAUACAGUGCGAGCUGAGGGUUGAAAAGUCAGCUUUUCAAACAUUGGUUUUCAGCUUCGCCUCUUCCGUGCAGAAAUUUCUCCAGAUUUUCUGUUUUUGUUUUGCGAAAUGCAGAAAUUCCUUAAAAAUGUGCAUUAAUAAAUAAAAUAAACCUGUUCCAAAUUUGAUAAAGUUCAUUGAUUUUAACGUUAUGUAUUAGGGGUUAACACAAUAUCACACUGAUCGAUAAUUUGGGACAGAUAUUUAGCCGAUAAUCAUUAUCUGCGUUUUAUUUUAAUGAUCUCCAAUGAAACCGAUGAAUUGAAAAGUAUAAAGAAAGUCGCA